GACGAACGCUGGCGGCGCGCCUAAUACAUGCAAGUCGAGCGAAGUUUUUCUGGUUCUUGCACUAGAAAAACUUAGCGGCGAACGGGUGAGUAACACGUAAAGAACCUGCCUCAUAGACUGGGACAACUAUUGGAAACGAUAGCUAAUACCGGAUAACAGUAUUUCUCGCAUGAGAGAUAUUUAAAAGUUGGUUAUGCUAACACUAUGAGAUGGCUUUGCGGUGCAUUAGCUAGUUGGUGGGGUAAAGGCCCACCAAGGCGACGAUGCAUAGCCGACCUGAGAGGGUGAUCGGCCACACUGGGACUGAGACACGGCCCAGACUCCUACGGGAGGCAACAGUAGGGAAUCUUCCGCAAUGGGCGAAAGCCUGACGGAGCAACGCCGCGUGAGUGAAGAAGGAUUUCGGUUCGUAAAGCUCUGUUGUUAGGGAAGAAUGGAUAUGUAGUAACUAUGCAUGUAAGAGACGGUACCCAAACAGAAAGCCACGGCUAACUACGUG
rnacentral:rRNA from 1 species